GACGAACGCUGGCGGCGUGCUUAACACAUGCAAGUCGAACGGAAAGGCCCUGCUUUUGUGGGGUGCUCGAGUGGCGAACGGGUGAGUAACGCGUGAGUAACCUGCCCUUGACUUUGGGAUAACUUCAGGAAACUGGGGCUAAUACCGGAUAGGAGCUCCUGCUGCAUGGUGGGGGUUGGAAAGUUUCGGCGGUUGGGGGUGGACUCGCGGCUUAUCAGCUUGUUGGUGGGGUAGUGGCUUACCAAGGCUUUGACGGGUAGCCGGCCUGAGAGGGUGACCGGCCACAUUGGGACUGAGAUACGGCCCAGACUCCUACGGGAGGCAGCAGUGGGGAAUAUUGCACAAUGGGCGGAAGCCUGAUGCAGCAACGCCGCGUGCGGGAUGACGGCCUUCGGGUUGUAAACCGCUUUCGCCUGUGACGAAGCGUGAGUGACGGUAAUGGGUAAAGAAGCACCGGCUAACUACGUG
rnacentral:rRNA from 1 species